UGGCCCAUGAAAUCAAGCAUGGGUGAGACCUGGUGCAGAACAGGAAGGCGACCCAUACUUGGUUUCAGAGGCUG
rnacentral:pre_miRNA from 1 species